GAUGAACGCAGGCGGCGUGCCUAAUACAUGCAAGUCGAGCGAACUGAUUAGAAGCUUGCUUCUAUGACGUUAGCGGCGGACGGGUGAGUAACACGUGGGCAACCUGCCUGUAAGACUGGGAUAACUUCGGGAAACCGAAGCUAAUACCGGAUAGGAUCGUCUCAUUCAUGGGAGUUGAUUGAAAGAUGGUUCCGGCUAUCACUUACAGAUGGGCCCGCGGUGUGUUAGCUAGUAGGUGUGGUAACGGCUCACCAGGGCAACGAUGCAUAGCCGACCUGAAAGGGUGAUCGGCCACACUGGGACUGAGACACGGCCCAGACGCCUACGGGAGGCAGCAGUAGGGAAUCUUCCGCAAUGGACGAAAGUCUGACGGAGCAACGCCGCGUGAGUGAUGAAGGCUUUCGGGUCGUAAAACUCUGUUGUUAGGGAAGAACAAGUACGAGAGUAACUGCUCGUACCUUGACGGUACCUAACCAGAAAGCCACGGCUAACUACGUGCCAGCAGCCGCUGUAAGAC
rnacentral:rRNA from 1 species